CAUAGCCCAAAAUAUCAAGGCAGAAAAUCCCACAGUGUGGACUCAGAUCACCCAGUUCAAAGCAGACAUCGUGGGAUUCUCUGCCUUGAUAUUCUGGGAUAUAGGGCUGUGUGGAAGGUCUACAGCCUUCUCGGCCAAAGAAUACUAGCAUCUCACCAAACUACAAAUCCCAGAAUUUCAUAGCACUGAGGCCCCUUCCACACUGCUGAAAAAAAUCCUACAUUUUCCGUUUUGAAUAGGAAUAAAUGCCAGUGUGGAUUCAGAUAACCCAGUUCAAAGCAGAUAUUGAAGGAUUAUCUGCCAUGAUUUUCUGGGAUAUAGGGCUGUGUGGAAGGGCCUUCAGAAUAUCAAGGUAGGAAACCCCACAUUCUCUGAGUGUGGACUCAGAUAACCCAGUUCAAAGCAGAUAUUGUAGGAUUUUCUGCCUUAAUAUUCUGGGAUAUAGGGCUGUGUGGAAGUGCCCUGAGUCCACACUCAGAUAAUGUGGGAUUUUCUGCCUUGGUAUUCUGGGAUAUAGGGCUGUGUGGAAGAGCCCCUUGACUCAGAGGCUCUCAGCACUAUCUAUUCCGAGGGCCCUUUCACACAGUCUUAUAUCCCAGAACAUCAAGGCAGAAAAUCUCACAAUAUCUGCUUUGAACUGGUUUAUCUGAGUCCACACUCUGAUAAUGUGGGAUUUUCUACCUUGAUAUUUUGGGAAGGGCCCUAAAUUCCCUUCCAAAUGGCCAUAUCACCCAUGAUUUCAAGGCAGUUCAGUCACAGUAUCUGCUUUGAACUGGGUUAUCUGAGUCCACACUGCCAGAUGAUCCAGUUCAAAGCAGAUAGUGUGGAAUUUUAUUCAGGGCCCCCAGAAUAUCAUAGAAUCAUUGAGCUGGAAGAGACCUCAUGAACAGUUCUCACAUUUAGGAAGUUCUUCCUCAUGUUCAGGUGGAAUCUCCUUUCCCGAAGUUUGAAUGAUAUUAUUAUUAUUAUUACUACAACUAUUUUUGUACCCAGCCUCUAUGUCCCCGAAGGAACUCGAGGCAGCUUGCAUACAGCACAAUGUGCCUAAAACAAUGCAUAAAAUAAACAAUGCAAUAAAAGAUAAAACCAAUAGCAUAUAAAACAAUUUCAACUCAACCUAUGGUGAGAACUGUUGUAAAACAUCGCCAACUGUAUACAGGAACAAGGGAAUAGGAUAGUGCAAGUUGUAGCUCAUUGCAGCCAUUGUUCCACGCCCUAGUCUCCGGGGCAGCAGAAAACAUGCCUACUCCCUACUCCCUAUUACUUCCCCUCACAUAUUUGUACAUAAUCAUCAUGUCUCCUCUCAGCCUUCUCUUCUGCAGGGUAAACAUGCCCAGCUCUUUAAGCCGCUGAUCAUCAAGGCAGAUCAUUCACAAUAUCUGCUUUGAACUGGGUUACAUAAGUCCACACUGCCAGAACUUCUAUGUGGAUUUUAUACAGCUUUGUGGAAGGAUCCUGAGAAGAUUUCCCUUCUCGUCUUUGCCCCACAAAACAAGCAUUUUCAACCCUGAUGGAAUUCCAGUAAGAACUUCUUCGCCCUUUCUUCUACAUGGUGUCUUUUCAGGCCAUUUAUAUAGGCAUGUGUAGUGAAAUCUACCUUUAAGGCGACCAGGCCGAAGCCUGAAUAUCAGUAGCUUUCAUCUUGAAAGACAGGCUGAGGCAGGAGGAGGAGUCAAGCUGACUCCUGAUUGGGUAGAGCAAUUAGGGGAGGAGUCGGUUGAGAGAGGGAAAAAGGUUGUCAGCUCUUGACAGAGAGGGGGAGAAGGGUCUUGAUAUCAGAGACGGAAGGAUAGGAUUUUAGGAGAGGAAGCUAGAUAGAGUUCUGACAGGGAAGAAGAGUUUUUAAAGUGAGCCUUAAGGUUAGGGAAUAAGGUUGAGACAAAGGCUAGGGUUUUACUGAGUUGAGAGGACCAGUAAAGGAGAGUUUUGUCUUAUUAAACUUAGGAGAAGUUUAAGAUACCUUAUUGCCCUGUGUGUGAGACAGACAAGAGUCUGUUCUCUAGGGAUACUGUUUCUAAGAAUAGAACAGUGUGUUUAAGGAAUCUCACAGUUUUAAAAGCUUUUUGGUCAGUAGAACUAACUGUUUAAUUCCACUAAGUCUCUGCAACUGAAUUACGCUUCUGUACCGCUCAUUCUAUGAGUAGAUGUUUGUUUAAAGCUCAAUAAACUUUUUCUAGUUCACUUUUAA